rnacentral:rRNA from 1 species
UACGAAGGGGGCUAGCGUUGCUCGGAAUCACUGGGCGUAGAGCGCACGUAGGCGGAUUGCUAAGUCAGGGGUGAAAUCCUGGAGCUCAACUCCAGAACUGCCUUUGAUACUGGUGAUCUUGAGUUCGGGAGAGGUGAGUGGAACUGCGAGUGUAGAGGUGAAAUUCGUAGAUAUUCGCAAGAACACCAGUGGCGAAGGCGGCUCACUGGCCCGAUACUGACGCUGAGGCACGAAAGCGUGGGGAGCAAACAGG